rfam:Sus scrofa chromosome 6.
GGAUAUGAGGGCGAUCUGGCUGCGCCAUCUGUCCCCCCACUGAUCGCCAGCGUGGACUCGGCUGAUCUGGCUGUCUAGGCGGGUGUCCCCCUCCUCCCUCGCAGCUCCACGGGCGCCCCUCCCGAAGCUGCGCGCUCGGUCGCAGAGGCCGAGCAUCCAUGAUGGAGAAGGACUGUUCUUCGGUUAAGGGUAUACGAGCAGCUGCACUCCCGCUAGAACCUCCCAACAAGCUCCAAAGAUGCCCCAGUGACAUCCCUGGCUUUGGAGGACAGCACCGUGAAGGUGCAGGUUCACACU